CAGACGCGCUCAGUUCAGUCAAGUCAGUCACUCGCGGCUGACCGUGGCGAGCGCUCGCCUAAGCGCCGCCGGCCUACCCGCAACCCUCAUGAUAUUCAAGAAGAAACAGUGCGCGCACCUGUAAUAUACGUACUCGCGUAUCCGAGUGCGACGGAUACUUGCUCCCCUUUGUCCUCCUCCUCCUCCUCCCCACCCCCCUCCGGCGAUUCUACCUUGUUGCUGCACCGGUUCUUCCCACCCGACCUUUCUCUUGGUUCGGUUCUCCGCGGCAGUCUCUCGGUGCGGUGAUAUUUAUUAUUAUGUGCCAGACGCUCCAGUGACACUGGUUGUUUUAGUCACGAGGAGGCAGCCGGAGGAAGCUGAGAGAGCAAAGUCUCGCAACCGAAGGCAUCAUCGUUAUCAUCACGAUUCUAAAAGAAUCUUGUAAGCUGGCAGCCGCAUCGAGGAUAACUCGUGAAUCGGGCGAAGAGUUUCGUAGGUGGACAUUGAAACGCAGCUGAGCUGGCCGCGAGUCGCAGUACAAGUUCGCUCGAUCGCCAGUCAGCCGCAGCCAGCGCUAAGAUCGUCAUCAUCAAGAAGUCAGGAGAUCGCCAGGGCAACGAGCAGCAGCAGAGCGGCGGCCGCGGACGUUGCAGCGGCUGCUGGAGAGUAGCGGCAUCGGCUGGUGGUUGCUCGAGCGGAGCAGCUGUCAUUCGUUUAGCGGCGGCGGCGGCGCUUCUAAUCGCGCUCGCAAGCCCGGCUAAGGCGGCGCUCGCAAACACGCAUGAGCGACCCCCAAGCGCCGCCGCCGUCGGCACUCCACUUGUUCCUCCUGACGAUCGCGUCGCAUCUCGUCACCACUAUCACCGUGACCAUGGCGGCGGAGGUGACAGUUCCGACGAUCCAACAGUCUACCUGGCCACGCGCCAAUACAAGCAUCACGAGUACAGCUCGAUAACGAGACAGGUGGCGCGCUGGCGUCGUGAGGUAGACAUGCACUCGGCAGGUCCAGCAAGCAGUAGCAGCGUCAAACCUUAUGUAUCGACGACGACGCGUAAUCCAAAGGACGAGGAAGACGAAGACAGACGCACCGCGAUGGUCAACGACGAUUCCCGCAAUCUCAGCUUCGACGAGGGACCGAAGAAUCUGACCGAUCACAAACCCAUCGACGUGCCCAAAGCGAUAGCGCUGGGCUGCUUCCUAGGCUCGAUAAUCCUAGCAGCGGUGUUCGGCAACCUCCUUGUGAUGGUAUCGGUCAUACGCCACCGCAAGCUCCGCAUAAUAACCAAUUACUUCGUGGUCUCGCUGGCGCUGGCCGACAUGCUGGUGGCGAUGUUCGCCAUGACGUUCAACGCGAGUGUGCAAAUCACCGGGCAGUGGAUGUUCGGCUACGUGAUGUGCGACGUAUGGAAUGCGCUGGACGUGUACUUCAGCACCAGCUCGAUCUUGCACCUCAUGUUCAUCAGCGUGGAUCGCUAUUACGCCGUCGUCAAGCCACUCAGCUAUCCGAUCAGCAUAACCAAACGCGUAGCCUUUUACAUGCUGUUCGCUUGCUGGUUCGCACCAGCCAUUAUAUCUUUCGUGCCGAUUUUCAGUGAGUGGUACACUACCGAAGAGAACAUGCGAAAUAGGAGACUGUACACGGACGAGUGUUUCUUCAAGGUCAAUAAGGUGUACGCGGUUAUAUCCUCGAGUAUAUCCUUCUGGAUACCCUGCACGAUAAUGACGCUCACGUAUCUGGCGAUAUUCCGUGAAGCGAAUCGCCAGGAGAAGCAGAUGCACAGUCGAAUGGGCAAUGCCAUGUUGUUGAGUCACAGGCCGAGUCGAGAUCUCAAUAACAUCAAUGGCGAGCUCAAUAGUGGCGGUGGCUCCUCCAAAACUCUCACGCUCAACGAGCCGCAAAGUCGCCGAGCGAGCGAUAUGCAAUUGACAAAAUGCCUUCUGAAAACGCAGGUGAGUGGUGCAGUGGAGCAUCACCUGCACACGCCAACCAAGGACAAGAACAUUCAAAAGAUGAAGCGCGAGCACAAGGCUGCACGAACGCUGGGGAUAAUAAUGGGCACGUUUAUGUUGUGCUGGCUGCCGUUCUUCUUGUGGUACAUCAUAACGAGUUUGUGUGGUGACGAGUACUGCCCCUGUCCAGACGUCAUGGUGACGAUAUUGUUCUGGAUCGGUUAUACCAAUUCGGCGUUGAACCCAUUGAUCUACGCUUACUUCAAUCGCGACUUCCGGGAAGCCUUCAAGAAUACUCUACAGUGCGCCUUCUGCUCGCUAUGCCGUCGAGAGCCCUCGGAUCUUGAGGCACUCGAUUUUCGCAGGCCCUCGCUUAGGUGAGAGACUACUCAAGCCGAGAACAAAAAAAGCAAAAAAAUUAUUACCAAGCCAACAUCCUAUAUAUCUCUCUCGCUACUGCUACCGAAUCUGCGGCGCUACCAUAUCGACGCCUGUGCUUUGUCCAUUGUGCUUGCCAAAAAUAUUUAACCAAACAAUGUACAAACAAACAAACCAUACAUUAAUAGGUUGACUUCCAGGUACGACGACCGCACGAAGAGCAUCUACUCGGAGACGUACAUCAAGCACAACGACCGUCGCGCGAGCAGCGACUUCGGCAGUAGCCUCUGAGAUGAGGCGAUUGGCAAGAACAACAACAACAACUUUCGAUUCUAAAAAGCAAAUCAACCAAAAUCGGGCUCGCGCGCGCGCUCGCGCGUCUCGCUCGUGCGGAGUCAGUGUGUAUUGCCAAAGUUAGCUUGUAAGCAAACGUAUGCGCGAGCGCGAGUGUGCGUGUGCUUUCGUGUUUUAGCCAAAUCAUUCGUUUUUUGUGUUUUCUUUACCCGUAGCUCACGAACGCGCAAGAUCCCGUCCGGAAUCGCGCUCAGCAAUCCAAGUAUAAAUAUAACGGAGUAUUAAUGAUGCAAAUCUCUCUCUCUCUUUCUCUCUCUCUCUCUGUUUUUCUCUGUCUCAUACUUCCUCAUUAAACGUCGUCUCUCUAUAAUUAUAUACAUAUGAAAAUCUCGCGAUCUUUUUCUACGACAUCUUUCCCAAAAGAGUCUCUUUUUAGCUAAGUGUAUCGUGUAUAGUCAGUGUUUCAUAUUAAAGCCGACAGAGCGAGCGCCAUUCCGGGCCGUUUAGGGAACCACAAACCAAAAGUCAUAAGAAGCAAUACUUUGAAAAAAUAACGUGCGACUGCGUUAUAAUACAGAUUACGCGAUUAUUUAAGCGAUACGCACAUUUAUGGAGAUUGCUACAAUUGCGGGUGCGCGCGCAUGGGUGUGUGUGCGUGUAAAUGAGUGUGCGCGUAUGUGUGUGUGUGUGUGUGUGUGUGUGUGUGUGUGUGUGUGUGUGUGUGCCCGUGCGCGAGGAUAUUUAUUGAGCGAGCGCGUUUAUUAUUUUUUUUUCGUCUUCGAUCGCUGUUUCACGUGUUAUAGCCGCUGCUUGUUUAAUAGAAACAAAGAUAAUUAUUAACCAAAAACACGGAAUUAGCAAUCUCAUCGCAAUUGUGUAAAUAAAGUUUGUAAAUAUAAUUAAUUGAAUAAAUGUGUAAAUAUUAUUAAAAGAAGAAACAUUUAUUUUCUCUUUAUGUUUGCAGUGCAUUUUAUUGAAAAAAAUCGUUCUUGUUAAGUUUUCUCAGAGCAAAACUAAUAUACAUAUUAUAUAUAAAUAUAUACGUUGAAGAACUAUAUAGUAAUAACUUACGCGCUUUUCAUAGAUAACGAUGAUGAUUAUGAUGAGUGCAAUACGAUAUGUAAUUUACGACAGUUAUUGCUUUGUCGUUCAAUUUCUAUUGUUUCCGUUGUUUCACCACGACACAUUCUUUAAGAUCUUACCGCACUCACGAGAGUUAUACUAAAAAAGUAAUAUGUAUAUACAUAUAUACACUUAACUAUGUGUGUGCUCGUGCGUGAGUGUGUGCGAAGCAAAGAAAGAAAACAAAAAGUGACAUAGUAGGAUUUGUAUUUUGUAAUAAGAUAAUAUUUGUAAAUACUAGUUAUCUAUUUCCGUUGAUGCGCUUGUCCGUUUUCUUUUUACGUUGGUAUAUGUAGGACGAACUGCUUAAAAAUAAUAAAGAAGAGUAAUAUUGUGCGGAAGAAAUUAUACAUGCACUUGGAGAAAAAGGAAGCAAACAAAUUCGUUUCUCAGUUGUGUGUGCAUGUAUGUUUGUGCUUAUAUUUGUGUGAAUGUGAAAAGACCUACGAAUCUCCUAAAGGAUAUGAAACUCACUAAUAUUUAUUAUAUUCGACGAUUCUGCGCUUUUUUUCAUUUUCUUUCAGCUAUUAUUUUUUUUCAUUUUGUAUAUCGUUUUUAAAAAAAAAGCGACACGAAAUUUUUUUUGUGUAAACGUUCCAGCCAACGUGUUUGAACGAUAAAUGAAAUUUCGAAAAAUAAAAAAAUUUAAUUGUUUGUUAAUAAAGAGAGUCAACAUAAAGAAACCAUGUUUUAUGGAUGUGUGCGAAAUGACAAGUGAAACUAACAUGAAUUUGGUCAGACGACGUGAGUGAUGUCCUGUUUUAAUUUCUGUUUCGUUGUAGUACGGUGUAAAGGGUAUAAUAUAUUAUACACGAGACUGGAAAGUUGUAUGCUUUUACGUAGGGCAAGCAAUUUUGAAAGAAAAAAUAAUUGAAGCAAUACGUAUACGCCAAGUAUCAUCGCAUGUGCACAAGACGCGACAGAGAUUAGAAAAAAACUACAGAAAAAAUACCGCCACACACAACUCUUACACACACACACACACGCGCACAUACACAACACACGUAUAUACAUGCUUGUUCCUUCGAAUCGAAUACAAC